rnacentral:lncRNA from 1 species
CUCUUCUACUCUAUAAUGUAUGCAAGUUAUCAGAAGAGGUGACACAACAUAUUGAAAAAUGCCAUGGACUUUGUCAUCAGAAACAAGGAUCAAAUUUUAAGAAUUACUAGCUGCCUUUUCUCCUUGAUCUUGUUGUCCAAGAUUCAUUUCUGCAACUUGUCAAUGAGAUACUUGGUCCCUUCUUCUAUGUCUAAAGGUGCAUUCAAUUUCAAGAUCAACUGGAAGUAGAUCG